ACUCCUACGGGAGGCAGCAGUAAGGAAUAUUGCGCAAUGGGCGAAAGCCUGACGCAGCGACGCCGCGUGGGGGAUGAAGGUCUUCGGAUUGUAAACCCCUUUCGGGAGGGAAGAUGGAGCGAGCAAUCGUUCGGACGGUACCUCCAGAAGCAGCCACGGCCAACUUCGUGCCAGCAGCCGCGGUAAUACGAAGGUGGCAAGCGUUGUUCGGAUUCACUGGGCGUACAGGGUGUGUAGGCGGUUUGGUAAGCCUUCUGUUAAAGCUUCGGGCCCAACCCGGAAAGCGCAGAGGGUAUCUACCAGGCUAGAGGGUGGGAGAGGAGCGCGGAAUUCCCG
rnacentral:rRNA from 1 species